UACGUAGGGGGCAAGCGUUGUCCGGAAUCAUUGGGCGUAAAGAGCUCGUAGGCGGUCUGUCGCGUCGGUCGUGAAAACUUGGGGCUCAACCCUGAGCUUGCGGUCGAUACGGGCAUGACUGGAGUUCGGCAGGGGAGACUGGAAUUCCUGGUGUAGCGGUGAAAUGCGCAGAUAUCAGGAGGAACACCGGUGGCGAAGGCGGGUCUCUGGGCCGAUACUGACGCUGAGGAGCGAAAGCGUGGGGAGCAAACAGG
rnacentral:rRNA from 1 species